CCUACGGGUGGCAGCAGUGGGGAAUAUUGGGCAAUGGAGGCAACUCUGACCCAGCAACGCCGCGUGAGCGAUGAAGGUCUUCGGAUUGUAAAGCUCUUUAAGCGGGGACGAAGAAAGUGAUUGUACCCGCAGAAUAAGCCUCGGCUAACUACGUGCCAUCAGCCGCUGUAAUACGUAGGAGGCAAGCGUUACCCGGAAUGACUGGGCGGAAAGGGUGCGUAGGUGGUUGGGCAAGUUGGUAGCGUAAUCCCGGGGCUCAACCUCGGUGCUACUACCAAAACUGUUGAACUUGAGUACAGUUGAGGUAGGCGGAAUGCGUGGUGUAGCGGUGAAAUGCUUAGAUAUCACGAAGAACUCCGAUUGCGAAGGCAGCUUACUAAACUGCCACUGACAUUGAUGCUCGAAAGUGUGGGUAUCAAACAGGAUUAGAUACCCGAGUAGUC
rnacentral:rRNA from 1 species